UACGUACGGAGCAAGCGUUAUCCGGAUUUACUGGGCGUAAAGGGAGCGUAGGCGGCCUGCCAAGUCUGAUGUGAAAUACCGGGGCUCAACCCCGGGGCUGCAUUGGAAACUGGCAGGCUGGAGUGCCGGAGAGGCAGGCGGAAUGCGCGGUGUAGCGGUGAAAUGCUUAGAUAUCGCGCAGAACCCCGAUUGCGAAGGCAGCGUACCGGCUCCACACUGACGCUGAGGCACGAAAGCGUGGGUAUCGAACAGG
rnacentral:rRNA from 1 species